CAGGCUAACACAUGCAGUCGAGCGGCAGCGGGAAGUAGCUUGCUACUUUGCCGGCGAGCGGCGGACGGGUGAGUAAUGUCUGGGAAACUGCCUGAUGGAGGGGGAUAACUACUGGAAACGGUAGCUAAUACCGCAUGACCUCGCAAGAGCAAAGUGGGGGACCUUCGGGCCUCACGCCAUCGGAUGUGCCCAGAUGGGAUUAGCUAGUAGGUGAGGUAAUGGCUCACCUAGGCGACGAUCCCUAGCUGGUCUGAGAGGAUGACCAGCCACACUGGAACUGAGACACGGUCCAGACUCCUACGGGAGGCAGCAGUGGGGAAUAUUGCACAAUGGGCGCAAGCCUGAUGCAGCCAUGCCGCGUGUGUGAAGAAGGCCUUAGGGUUGUAAAGCACUUUCAGCGAGGAGGAAGGGUUCAGUGUUAAUAGCACUGUUCAUUGACGUUACUCGCAGAAGAAGCACCGGCUAACUCCGUGCCAGCAGCCGCGGUAAUACGGAGGGUGCAAGCGUUAAUCGGAAUUACUGGGCGUAAAGCGCACGCAGGCGGUUUGUUAAGUCAGAUGUGAAAUCCCCGAGCUUAACUUGGGAACUGCAUUUGAAACUGGCAAGCUAGAGUCUUGUAGAGGGGGGUAGAAUUCCAGGUGUAGCGGUGAAAUGCGUAGAGAUCUGGAGGAAUACCGGUGGCGAAGGCGGCCCCCUGGACAAAGACUGACGCUCAGGUGCGAAAGCGUGGGGAGCAAACAGGAUUAGAUACCUGGUAGUCCACGCUGUAAACGAUGUCGACUUGGAGGUUGUGCCCUUGAGGCGUGCUUCCGGAGCUAACGCGUUAAGU
rnacentral:rRNA from 1 species